rnacentral:rRNA from 1 species
GACGAACGCUGGCGGCGUGCUUAACACAUGCAAGUCGAACGAUGAAGCUAGAGCUUGCUCUGGUGGAUUAGUGGCGAACGGGUGAGUAACACGUGAGUAACCUGCCCCGAACUCUGGGAUAACUGCUGGAAACGGUAGCUAAUACCGGAUAUGACCAAUGAAGGCAUCUUCUGUUGGUGGAAAGAAUUUCGGUUCGGGAUGGACUCGCGGCCUAUCAGCUUGUUGGUGGGGUAACGGCUCACCAAGGCGACGACGGGUAGCCGGCCUGAGAGGGUGAUCGGCCACACGGGGACUGAGACACGGCCCAGACUCCUACGGGAGGCAGCAGUGGGGAAUAUUGCACAAUGGGCGCAAGCCUGAUGCAGCAACGCCGCGUGAGGGACGACGGCCUUCGGGUUGUAAACCUCUUUUAGUAGGGAAGAAGCGAAAGUGACGGUGCCUGCAGAAAAAGCACCGGCUAACUACGUGCCAGCCGCCGCCGUAA